GAGUUUGAUUAUGGCUCAGAUUGAACGCUGGCGGCAUGCUUUACACAUGCAAGUCGAACGGCAGCACGGAAGAGCUUGCUCUUUUGGUGGCGAGUGGCGAACGGGUGAGUAAUGCAUCGGAACGUACCGAGUAGUGGGGGAUAACUGUCCGAAAGGAUGGCUAAUACCGCAUACGCUUUGAGAAGGAAAGCAGGGGCUCUUCGGACCUUGCGCUAUUCGAGCGGCCGAUGUCUGAUUAGCUAGUUGGUGGGGUAAAGGCCUACCAAGGCGACGAUCAGUAGCGGGUCUGAGAGGAUGAUCCGCCACACUGGGACUGAGACACGGCCCAGACUCCUACGGGAGGCAGCAGUGGGGAAUUUUGGACAAUGGGCGCAAGCCUGAUCCAGCCAUGCCGCGUGUCUGAAGAAGGCCUUCGGGUUGUAAAGGACUUUUGUCAGGGAAGAAAAGCUUUGGGUUAAUA
rnacentral:rRNA from 1 species